rnacentral:rRNA from 1 species
UACGUAGGCAGCGAGCGUUGUUCGGAGUUACUGGGCGUAAAGGGUGCGUAGGCGGUUGUUUAAGUUUGGUGUGAAAUCUCCCGGCUCAACUGGGAGGGUGCGCCGAAUACUGAAUGACUAGAGUGCGGGAGAGGAGAGUGGAAUUCCUGGUGUAGCGGUGAAAUGCGUAGAUAUCAGGAGGAACACCGGUGGUGUAGACGGCUCUCUGGACCAUAACUGGCGCUGAGACGCGAAAGCUAGGGGAGCAAACAGG